rnacentral:rRNA from 1 species
AUUGAACGCUGGCGGCAGGCUUAACACAUGCAAGUCGAGCGGGGAAGGGUAGCUUGCUACCUAACCUAGCGGCGGACGGGUGAGUAAUGCUUAGGAAUCUGCCAUUUAGUGGGGGACAACAUUCCGAAAGGAAUGCUAAUACCGCAUACGUCCUACGGGAGAAAGCAGGGGAUCUUCGGACCUUGCGCUAAAUGAUGAGCCUAAGUCGGAUUAGCUAGUUAGUGGGGUAAAGGCCUACCAAGGCGACGAUCUGUAGCGGGUCUGAGAGGAUGAGCCGCCACACUGGGACUGAGACACGGCCCAGACUCCUACGGGAGGCAGCAGUGGGGAAUAUGGGACAAUGGGCGGAAGCCUGAUCCAGCCAUGCCGCGUGUGUGAAGAAGGCCUUAUGGUUGUAAAGCACUUUAAGCGAGGAGGAGGCUACUUAGAUUAAUACUCUAGGAUAGUGGACGUUACUCGCAGAAUAAGCACCGGCUAACUCUGUGCCAGCAGCCGCGGUAA